rnacentral:rRNA from 1 species
UCCCAUCCCGAACACGGAAGUCAAGACCUCUCACGCCAAUGGUACUGCGUUCGUCGCGGGAGAGUAGGUAGCCGCCGGAU